rnacentral:lncRNA from 1 species
UUCCGCCCCUGUUUUUCUCUUUUUGUCGUGCAGCACAAAUUGGGAGCCCUCGCCAUGGCCACCAAUAUCCAUCUACGGGUACAUCUUCCUCCCUUACCAGUUGCUCAAUAUUCUAUCCUAAUGACGCGUUUAUUAAUUCCAAAUCCAUGGACUCUUGCUUCCUACCGAUUCAAUUUCUUCAUGUGCCAGAUUCAGGGGGCAAGUACCUCACUCAUCUUGAUCUGCCAUCUCAUUUUUCUUUGUCAGGUUUGAGGAAGAUUUGGAUAACUAGGUUGAUUUAUGUGAAAAUUCCAAUAUUUUAAAUAGCACGCUAUUUUGCCGUUAUAACGCGGUUAUAGCAUAUUUGGAAGGAAGACGUUAUGUUUUGGCAAAAUCGGACGCUACGGCGCUAAUCGCGUAAUUAGCGCGCUACACACGCUAUAACGUUGUAACGUUGUAACGUUACAACGUGCAGACCAUGCAAAACUAAAAUAAGCACAGCCCAGCAGGCCAAAACCAACCCACGACCACUAGCUUUCUCACUCCUUUUAUCAGAUUCUCCCACGAGACCUAACCAGCAGGCCCAGGUGGCUGCCCCGGUGGCUGUUGAUGUUAGAGACUCUUAAAACUAUGGCUGUUGAUGUUUGAGACUUAUUUUGAUGUGCUGGAUUUGGCCCUUAUGCAUAUAUUGCUUGCUCCUAUGAAAAAUUUAGUUGCUUAAAUACUUUAUUUCUAGAUAUAUUUGAUUUUUUUGCAAACGCUAUUUUGAAAUAUAGCAUGCUAUUAGCGCGCUAUAACUUGUGUAGCAUUUAGAGAAGGGCUUCGCUAUAUUUUGUAGCACGCUAUUUAAAAUAUUGGAAAAUUCUGUACACUCCGCGCAAAGUUGUUUGCCUGCAGACCAUUGCUACAGAUGCAACCAAAUUAAUUUACCAUGUAUGUUCUACACAUUUUCAUUUUAAUGGUUUUAUGUCAUAUGGAGCAAUGUUUUCCUUAUGAUGAGAUUGUGUUGGUUGUAAAUAGGCAUCACAAAUGGGCAUAGUUGAAUUAAAGUUUUAGGUAUGAGCUACUUCAUUAUGUAUUUUGGCUACUGCUCCCUGCCUUAUGUAGAUUCAGUAUAUUCCUAUCUUUAUGCCAAGUGAAUAUUCUCUCUGCCUUGACUAAUCCUAGGAUGCAGCAUGUGCUUGAUGAUCCAGCUACAGAUUGGACAAGAGCUGUUUUUUUUGGUCGGUGAUGGUUUUUCUCUGUUUUGUGAAGAUGUGAAAAAUAUUUAGCAGGUGUUUUUUUUUGGUUAUGAUUUCAAGCAUGCAAUGCAAUAUCUAGCAGUCCCAUUGAAAGAACUAUUUACUUUCCCCUUGCAAAAUGGUCAUUGUAUUUGACAGGUAAGAAUAAACACAAUUUAGCAUCCAGUAGAUGUGAACCCUAUUUCACUUUUGCCAAAUGUCUUUAGAGUUUCAGUCACUCACGUUAAUUAACCAUUUUUUAUCUCCAUAUAGGGCUAUAUUUGUCAGCAUGUUCAACUUGUGAAACCGACAUGCUAACAUCCUUCUUUAUCAAUGAAAAUUGUGAAGCUUCUCCAAGACUUUUGAAGAAAAAAAAGGUUAGUGUACAUGUUUCUUAAUUUUAAAGAAUUGCCGCCGACCGCAAGUGUAUUGGUGGUCAUCUCAAGAUCUCACCCAUGGAACAGCAUCAGUUUUCUAUAUCGCUGAUCACCUAUGCCUUAAGAAUUCCAGUUGAUGUAUUCUCGCCGUAUUAGUUCUCAUGCUGGACAUUCAACUUUGGUCUAUCUUCUUUCAUGAUUAAACAUUCUGGGCCGUAUACGACAGUUGAUACAAUCCUAUGUUGUCCUGAACUAACUCCGGUGUAUAGGAACGUUGAUCAUGGGAGAAUGCAGCAGAACUGAAAAAUAAUUAGCAUACUUACACUUAGCCACCACUUACCAGCUUAAACCUGAAUGUCUUAAGUAUUUUUUGCAGUUUAACAUGGCACAUACGUACUAUAUGCAGUUUAACAUGGUUCUCUUACUUCAUUAUUGGUUGUGAAGGUCACAACUACGUACACCUGGCAAAUGAACUUGGUGGGUAAUAUAGAUCUUCCAAUUAACAAAAUUUGUUGAAUCUAAAUGGAAACUGAAUAUAGUCCAUAUUUUACAUUACUUAUUAUUAUGUGGUUUUCUAGAUUUUUUAGGUGUGUGUAGUGAUGACUUCCUCUAAAUAUUGCUCACCAUUUUUGUCCUUCUUUUGGUCUCUCACACAUGUAAUCUUAAAGGACUGGAUUGACACCAAGGCAUAUCCGUUUCACCACAUUAGCCUCCCAAUGGCAUUCACUGUGGAAUAUAUAGUGUAGUAACUCUUCAUUAGAUCGUAUUGAUCUUUGUCCUUAAACGUUGACGUGAGAACCAAACAACAGUGCCAUACUAUCAUUGCUAUUAAUUUUGCACACUAAGUGGCUCCGUAGGGUUGCCAAUUUAUCUUUGUUCACAGCCUUGAGCUAUCCAUUUUGAUGCUAUGUAUUCUCACAUGUUAUUUAUUUUUUAAAGAAAAUUCAUAGCAUACUUUAGCGCAGCAACGCGGGGUAUCACCUAGUCUAUAUAAGUGGCACAAGUAUUUCUUCUCCUCGGCACAAACAAGCACUCAGGCCAUGAUGACGCGACUAUAUUUUCUACCAACCAUACUGCUGGUGAUCCAUUUGAUCUUGAUUCUAACAUCCGGCACCCUAGUUCGUCGUGGUUGUAAGUAAUAUACCCCUUUAAUUAUAUUUUCGUGAGUGAAUUCACAAUAAUACUUAGAUUGUUUUUUUUUCUUUUGUGGGUUGCAUUCCAGUUUUUACCUCUUCUUUGUGUAUUUGCGACAGUAUGUACCUUAUUAAGCUUUUUCAGUCACAUUUUACCAUGGAGUUGUUAGAUUGUGUCAAGUGGAGCACAAUUUAACUUUGAUUGCCUGAGUUCACUUGUGAGACCAACGUGGCUGAUGGCACAUACUCCAACUUGGAGGCAUAUGGCCUAUCGCUAGCUGUGGAAAGAAGCUUCCCUCUCACCCAUCUUAUUCUCUUCAAAAAUAAAAUUUUUGGUUGGGCUUCUAGAAUAAGCUAGGGAGGGGGCAACUUAUUUCCACAGCCAGACCAUAAGCUCCAAAAGAAUUGGCCCUAAUUUUAUCUGAACGGAUUGAGAGGAUCCCCCCUACCUGCCUAACUUAACACACAUUCCCGUCUGCUUGACUUGCAACCCCGCCCAUGUUAUGAAUUUGGCGAUCGUUGAUGCUAGACUUGUUGGCACUUCACCCCUCCUCCUUGUGGUUCCCUGUUCAUCCCCAACCCAUAGUUUGUUCGCUCAUGGUGUGGGUUUCACUUGAUCGCACCACCAAAUAUGUAUACUUGGGUUUUUUGGAUGAUGGUCUAGUCGUUGCCAUGAAGGACAUACCUUGCUGGAAUUUUGAGUUGGCAUACAAGUCAGUACCNNNNNNNNNNNNNNNNNNNNNNNNNNNNNNNNNNNNNNNNNNNNNNNNNNNNNNNNNNNNNNNNNNNNNNNNNNNNNNNNNNNNNNNNNNNNNNNNNNNNNNNNNNNNNNNNNNNNNNNNNNNNNNNNNNNNNNNNNNNNNNNNNNNNNNNNNNNNNNNNNNNNNNNNNNNNNNNNNNNNNNNNNNNNNNNNNNNNNNNNNNNNNNNNNNNNNNNNNNNNNNNNNNNNNNNNNNNNNNNNNNNNNNNNNNNNNNNNNNNNNNNNNNNNNNNNNNNNNNNNNNNNNNNNNNNNNNNNNNNNNNNNNNNNNNNNNNNNNNNNNNNNNNNNNNNNNNNNNNNNNNNNNNNNNNNNNNNNNNNNNNNNNNNNNNNNNNNNNNNNNNNNNNNNNNNNNNNNNNNNNNNNNNNNNNNNNNNNNNNNNNNNNNNNNNNNNNNNNNNNNNNNNNNNNNNNNNNNNNNNNNNNNNNNNNNNNNNNNNNNNNNNNNNNNNNNNGGCUCGGUUGAAAAUCCUAGCCGCCGCCGCCGGACACGUCCAUCCUCCCCCUCCUCUCCGCCACCGCUAGAGGAGGUCGCCAGGCAAAGCCCCAGGCGGUUGAUGGUGGCGGCGGAGGCUCUCUUCCCUCCCGCGCCAGAUCGGGUGAGGCAGGUCACCCAUGGCGCCGGGGCGCUCUCCCCUGAUCUGCGUCACGACGGUGCAUUAGGCGACGGCGCAAGGCAGCGGCAUGGUGCUGGGCGGGGGAGGCGAAGCUGCGACUCCGAGGAAGAUCUGGUGGUGCCGACCGUUCGAUGGGCUCGCGGGCAUGGCGGCCUUGGUCGCGGUGGCCGACGGCUCGGCCUGUCGGUGGCGGCUGGAUCCCGGGACGGCCGCUGUCGGUGUCAAAACCGGCGGAUCUCGGGUAGGGGGUCCCGAACUAUGCGUCUAGACGGAUGGUAACAGAAGACAAGGGACACGAUGGUUUUACCCAGGUUCGGGCCCUCUCGAUGGAGGUAAAACCCUACUCCUGCUUGAUUAAUAUUGAUGAUAUGGUAGUACAAGAGUAGAUCUACCACGAGAUCGGAGUGGCUAAACCCUAGAAGCUAGCCUAUGGUAUGAUUGUUGUUCGUCCUACGGACUAAAACGCUCUGGUUUAUAUAGACACCAGAGAGGGCUAGGGUUACACAGAGUCGGUUACAAUGGGAGGAGAUCUUCAUAUCGUAUCGCCAAGCUUGCCUUCCACGCCAAGGAAAGUCCCAUCCGGACACGGGACGGAGUCUUUAAUCUUGUAUCUUCAUAGACCAGGAGUCCGGCCAAAGGUUUUAGUCCGGCCAUCCGGACACCCCCUAAUCCAGGACUCCCUCAGUAGCCCCUGAACCAGACUUCAAUGACGACGAGUCCGGCGCGCAAGUUGUCUUCGGCAUUGCAAGGCGGGUUCCUCCUCCGAAUAUUUCAUAGAAGAUGUUGAACACCAGGGUAGUGUCCGGCUCUGCAAAAUAAGUUCCACAUUCCACCGUAGAGAGAAUAAUAUUUGCGUUAAUCGGAUCCGUUGACGUAUUCCGCGGCGUGACAUCAUGCCACGGCCAGGCUUUUAUUCAUUUUAUUGUUCAACCUCAGCGCGUUUAGCGAGGCGGUUUCCUUGGCACGUCUUGUCAAAGUAGAGAUCGUGUCCCCUUAUUCCGGGAUUCUCAUCAAUACGGGUGUGGGUAACCCAACCGCGCCAUUAACCGCGGCGCUUGGGAGAUAAGCGAGUUUUAUUAGGCCGGUGGGGGGCUUGCAGUUUUGGCCGCCCAUAUAAGGGGAUAAGAAUCCGCCCUUUCCAUUCACGCCUUCUUCCUCCUCUACUUAUUCGUCCCUGCGUGCUCGAGCUCCAGCGCCCAAGCCCGCACUUCCCACCUCAACCUUCUCCAACCAUGUCCGGAGCGGGAGGUAGAUGGAUGGCCUCCUCCGUCACGGAGGGGCACAUAAAAAAACUGAGGAAGGCCGGAUACUUGUCUAACGACAUCGUGCACCGGCUUCCAGAUGUGGGGCAACUCAUCCCCACGCCCAGGCCCCAUGAGAGGGUUGUUUUUCUUCCCAUUUCCUCCACGGACUGGGUUUUCCUCUUCACCCGUUCAUCCGGGGGCUCAUGUUCUACUACGGCCUGGACUUCCACGAUCUGGCCCUGAACUUCAUCCUCAAUAUCUCAGCGUUUAUUGUCGUGUGUGAGGCCUUCUUCCGCAUCCAGCCUCACUUUGGCCUAUGGCUGAAGAUCUUCAGCGUCAAGCCGAAGGUUGUGAAAGGCCGACAAGCGGAAUGCGGAGGUGCCAUGGUGGGCAAGAUAGCCAACGUCACCUGGAUCGAGGGUGCCUUCGUGGAAACCAUCAAAGGGUGGCAAUCGGGGUGGUUUUAUAUCACCGAGCCGCGUGACCCUAAGUGGGCAGCGGCCCCCGAAUUUCGAUCCGGCAUCCCCAUCCGUCUCACAUCCUGGAAAGAGACGGGCCUGUCGUUGGGCAAUCCGGAAGAGGUGACCGGACUCCAAACCUGCGUCCGAGACCUGGUGACCAAGAAGGUCAAGCUUGUCAACGUGGUCCAGGUCAUGCUCUUCCGCUGGAUCCUCCCGUGUCAACGGCGGGACUUCAAUUUGUGGGAGUUUGAUCCGGCCCAGCACCAGACUCUACCCCGGCUCUUCGAAACAAACCACGAGGAUGCCUGGAAGGUGCUUUUCAAGAGUUUCGAGGUGUCCCCUCCCGUCACCGAGGAUCGCGGAUUCUGCGCCAAACAUCAAGUCUUCGAAGUAAGCUUACAUUUAGUCCCUUACGGGAUACCCGAAUUUCAUAGUGUUACUUUAUGUGGGAUCUAAACUCCCAUUCCUUUGACAGGACUGGAAGAGGACAUCCGGACAGUUUGACUGUCCGGCUCCUUUGCCCGAAGGCCUAGCAGACGCACAAUUAGCAAAGCUACUCGUUCCGGCACCUCACGUGGUGCCGGAGAAGAAGGCCAAGGAGAAGGCCGCGGGGACCCGAAAGAGUUCCCGGUGCCCGGUGGCGUCGGAUUUGCCCGACAACCCCAACGCACCCUCCGCCUCCGAAGACGAGGAGGAGGAGGAAGAAGAAGAAGAUGCCUCUCCCCCUCCAAUGGGGGGAGGAAAGAAAAGAAAGGCCGCCCCAACUAGGGAAGCCGGAGGGUCCAAGAAGGGGAAGACCCUUCUGCCGGACUACGCCCCCGACACCGAAGACGGCGGGGGGAGGGGGGAAUGGCCAUCCAGGGUCAAGCCCCUGGCAAAACCGUAAGUGUCCGGCUACCCGAAUGACUUAUUGCACUCCUUUAUUAUUCGAUAGCUUCUAACGCCGAAUCUAAUCAUGCAGUCCGCCCAGAGCUCAGCUUGGCGAUUCGUCGAGCGGCUCUCUGAAUUCGUCGGACAUGAAUAGCGCUUCACUUCCGACGGCCUCCUCCCCUCUCCCUACAGACGACGCUGAGGUGGAGUCCCGCAGGGGACAAAACCAGGAGGAGGUGGUCCUGGAGGCGCCACAAGGCGACCGUUCGGACUCCAGGCCCAAAGGGGGUAAAGCUCCAGAGGAAUCUAAGUCCGGCCCCGGGCCGGACACUGCUCCGGAACCAUCAGCGGUUCCAGAGUCCGAUAGGCGGCGCCUUCAUAAGAAGGGCAAGCCUGCGACGCCGGUGACUUCCGUCCACCCGGAAGCGCCGGACAAUUUACUGGAGGCGCUUAAUGGCGCCUCCAUCGACGAGGAACACUGCGCUGUUAUGAGUGCGGUGAUUCAGAAGGUUCAGUCCGCCAAGAGCGGGCUGACGGAAGCCUGCAGAAGCCUGUUAACGGGCUUUGAGGUAUGUGUUCAAAAACAUAUAUAAAAAAUAUUACCGCAUAGAUAGUAACCCCUGAUGCUCAGUUCGGUGUUCGGAAAGAAAAGCCGAGCUGAGGAUCUAAAAAGAUAUAUGCAGGAGUUUAAUAGAAAUAUGUUAAUAUGGGAAUGCAGGCUGCGCUGCUGACCUCUGCCGCACUGACUGCGGAGGUCAAUGCAUUGAAGGAAAGCCUCGAGCGGUCCGAGAGCGAGCUCGGCCGUGCCAAGAAGCAGCUCGAGGAUAAAGAGGGUACAUAGUACCUCCUGUAAAUGUAUAUAGAAAUACUUGGUUGCAAAAUAAGAACAUGACCAACGUUAAUGUUGCAGGAGCCACGACCGAGGUGGCGACCCUGAAAGAGGCGGUCUCCGAGGCUGAAAAGAGUGCGGCCUUGGAGCGCACCGAGUGAGAGAAGCAGGAGGCGGGUGGUGGAGGUGCGGCAAGAGCUCCAGGCUCUCGUGGAAAAACACGAGAGUUUGGAGCGUGACUCGAAGACUUGAGAGUCCGAGCUUGCCGUGGCUCUUGAGAGUGCCAAGACUGCUAAGGCCGAAGCCCAGAAGGCCCUUCAGGAGAUCAAGGCGAUGAAGAAGAUAGCGGCGGGUAAGGCAUUCUUUAUGCAAAGCAAAAAUAUAAAAGUUAAUUAUCUGCUACUUACCCGAAUCCGGAGCUCUCCAGGAGCGUUCGCCGAUCUGCCCCAUAGUGUGUCUGAUGCCGCCGCAUACUACCGAGCCGAAGAGGGGAGCUCGACGGAAAAAGUGUUUUGGUCUCAGUAUGCUGAGGCCGAACAUCCGGUACCCCUGAGCGACCAGCUGAAGCAGCUGGUCGAGCUCCACAAUAUGGCCGAACAGGCCAUGAAGGGCCUCAUAGCUCGGCUGUGGCCUGGAGAAGUCAUGCCUGGGAGCUACUUCGGUCUGGUGCGGCGGCUGGUGGACGCGUAUCCGUGGAUUGAGGUCGUCAAGCGCUCCGUUUGUAUUGAAGGUGCCCGUCGGGCCCUUGCCUAUGCUAAGGUGCACUGGGGCAAGCUAGAUGCGGAGAAGCUGUUGAUGGACGCGCCACCGCCGGGAAAGGAGUAUCGUACGCCCGAGAUGUAUUAUAAUGGCGUUCUGAAGGGUGCCCGCCAUAUAGCGGAUGAGUGCUCCAAAGAUGUAAUUUUUGAGUAGACUCGCAUUUGUUAUCCUGUACGCUGAAGCUUUGUUCAUAUGCAUUAAGCAACGCUUGUUAAUUUAAAAUAUUACCUUCUGUGCGGCCGUUUAUCAAAUCUGAGAGAUGCAAGUCGUCGGCUUCGACCCCCAUGCAACGAGUGCUGGUGUUUUCGGGAUAAACCUGAGCGCUCUUGUUCCCAUUCUUGGGUCCAUCUAGGGAGGCGUUCAGCACAACGAACCAGCCCGUCGGACUUAUAAUGCUUUAUCACUCUCACUUAGCCAUAGAAUUCUAUAAUUUUAAAUUUCGGUGAAGCCCCUAGUAUUCGGAAGACCGAGUUAGGGGCGCUAUCCAUGCCUAGGCCGGAUAAGUCCGGUUCCUCGCUCGAAGCGCCAUAAGUCUUCAAGGACUCGAAGAAACCACGUGAACAUCGACCGGUCUCUCGCACUAUCAUGACAGUCAGUUUUAGCUUUCUCUACUGAGGUGUUAACCCAGCUCAACUGGGGCACAAUCGCAGUAGUUCUCCCGGCGCUACCUUAGCCAACAAUGCGGAACGUAAGGUACCAAAACAUGGGAGCCGGGCAAACCCAACUAUUGACCAAAGACAUGAUUCGGAGCCGAUGCAUAUAGUGCUAUAAGUUCGGGGUGCCGCACUCGUGAGAGUGUUCGGUCUUCUCACACCAUGUUAUGGGGUGUUGUAAGCCCCUGGUGUAUUGUCCGCACCAAAGUGUACGGUUGCAGAAUGUCAUGACUGAACAUAUUUGUAUAUAAAAAUAGGUAAGUACAAUAAUAGGUAAGAGCUAUAUAUUGUUUACUAAAAAAGGGCUGCUGCGAAAGCAGAACGAUACAAGAAGUGCGGUAAGCAAGAGAUGGGAGUAUUUGACAUAUUCCCCUCUAGGGGCAAGCUGCGGGAUUGUAAGUAAAACAUGUAUUAAACUCGUUAUAGAGACCACCUAGACUUUUGAAGUGGCUUGCUCCCUCCCUGGCUGUUGCAUCGUGGGUUCGGCGAGUGUAUUGCCGGACAGGCCUUCCGAAUAGUUGGGUCCUGAAAGUGUGUAAAAAGGAAAACGGGUGCGGUUGAGCCGCAUUCUGGGCGUGCCAUUGUUGUGCCCUUCCCCUUAUGCCCAUGAUAUCUCUAAGGCGUAAUUAUGUACGCGUGGUACCAGUAUCGCCGUUUGGCGGGGGCUGGGGUUGGGGCCGCACUGCUAUGCUUGCUCGGAACGUGCCAGCCGGAUUUGUUGUAGGUUACUUCGGGCUCGCUUGACGUUGUCCGGACGUUUGACGUCUGGAUUGGAGAACUGCCUUGAGAGGCUACUCUGUACUUCCGCUGCUAGGGCCGCCAUGUGCUCCUCCGUUUGGAGAGAGCGUUCGGUGUUUCCGUUUACCGUGAUGACUCCGCGAGGUCCUGGAAUCUUGAGCUUGAGAUAUGCGUAGUGCGGCACCGCAUUGAAUUUUGCAAAUGCGGUUCGUCCAAGCAGGGCGUGAUAGCCGCUGCGAAAUGGGAAUAUGUCGAAGAUUAACUCCUCGCUCCGGAAGUUACCCGGGGAUCCGAAGACCACUUCGAGUGUAACCGAGCCUGUACAGCUGGCCUCUACCCCUGGUAUGACACCUUUGAAGGUUGUCUUUGUGGGUUUAAUCCUUGAAGGAUUGAUGCCCAUUUUUCGCACUGUGUCCUGGUAAAGCAGGUUCAAGCUACUGCCGCCGUCCAUUAGGACUCUGGUAAGGUGAAAUCCGUCGAUAAUUGGGUCUAGGACCAGUGCGGCGAAUCCGCCGUGACGGAUGCUGGUGGGAUGGUCCCUUCGAUCGAAGGUGAUCGGGCAGGAGGACCAUGGGUUGAACUUUGGGGCGAUUGGCUCCAGCGCAUAGACGUCCUUGAGAGCACGCUUCCGCUCCCUUUUGGGGAUGUGGGUUGCGUAUAUCAUGUUCACCGUCCGAACUUGUGGGGGAAUUCCCUUCUGUCCUUUGUUGUUCGGUGGCCGGGGCCCCUCCUCGUCAUCGCUAUGUAGCCCCUUGUCUCUGGUCUCGGCACUUAACUUGCCUGCCUGCUUGAACACCCAACAAUCCCUGUUGGUGUGAUUGGCUGGCUGUUCGAGGGUCCCGUGUAUCUGGCACGAGCGAUCGAGUAUCCGGUCUAAGCUGGAUGGGCCCUGAGGGUUUCUUUUGAAUGGCUUUUUCCGCUGACCCGGUUUAGAGCCUCUGAAUCCGGCGUUGACUGCCGUAUCUUCAGUGUUGUCACCGUUAAUGCGGCGCUUAUGCUUGUUGCGACGUGACCUGCCGUUGUUAUCCUUGGUAUCCAAAUUGCCGGGCUCUUGGUUAUGUUAUUGCUACGAGCUAGCCAGCUGUCUUCUCCUGCACAGAAGUGGGUCACGAGUGUCGUGAGGGCUGCCAUAGAUUUUGGCUUUUCAUGUCCUAGGUGCCGGGCAAGCCAUUCAUCUCGGAUGUUGUGCCUGAAGGCUGCAAGGGCCUCGGCGUCCGGACAAUCGACUAUUUAGUUUUUCUUGGUUAGGAACCGUGUCCAGAAUUGUCUGGCCGAUUCCUCUGGCUGUUGGAUUAUGUGGCUUAGGUCAUCGGCGUCUGGUGGUCGCACAUACGUGCCUUGGAAGUUGUCAAGGAAUGCGGAUUCCAGGUCCUCCCAACAACUAAUUGACUCUGCUGGCAGGCUGUUAAGCCAAUGUCGAGCUGGUCCUUUAAGCUUGAGCGGGAGGUAUUUGAUGGCGUGUAGAUCAUCACCACGGGCCAUGUGGAUAUGAAGGAGAUAAUCCUCGAUCCAUACCGCAGGAUCUGUUGUGCCAUCGUAUGAUUCGAUGUUUACGGGUUUGAAGCCCUCGGGGAUUUGAUGAUCCAUUACUUUGUCUGUAAAGCAUAGUGGGUGUGCGGCGCCCCUGUACUGGGCUAUAUCACGACGCAGCUCGGACGAGCUUGGUCUAUUGUAUUCGGCCGGGCCAUACUUAUUAUGUCCGGCGUGAUGGCUAGCGUCACGUGAAGCGGGGCGCCCAUGCAAUCCGUAGAUCGAUCUUGUUUGCCUUGCCUUAUUCUCCAAGAUGUCUCGCAGGUCUGUUGCGUCUCCCCGUACUCUGGUAUGUUUUGAGCGGUGUCGGGGUGCGGCUUGGGUUGAGGGCCUGAAGGCCUCUCUAUCGCAGCCACGGGGUGGCCGAUCGGGCGCAUCGCACGCUGGUGAUGUAGGUUUAGUUGCUUCCUCCUCAAGUUGAGGUAGCAGCCUGCGCUUUGGGUAGCUCUUGGAUGGGCGUUCUAGUUUAUACUCUUCGGCCAGGGGCGUAGCUUUCGAUCUGCUCCAGAUGGCCAAACGAGUCAGCCCGCAGUGCGAAGCCGCCAAAUACGAAGAUCUGUUCGGGAAGAAAAGUCUCGUCCUGGACCGCAUCGCGAUUGACAAGCGAAGAAGCCAUCGGGCCUAAAGGCGACGACACAGAGGAUCUCUCAAUGAAAGCACCAAUAUCGGUGUCAAAACCGGCGGAUCUCGGGUAGGGGGUCCCGAACUGUGCGUCUAGGCGGAUGGUAACAGGAGACAAGGGACACGAUGUUUUUACCCAGGUUCGGGCCCUCUCGAUGGAGGUAAAACUCUACUCCUGCUUGAUUAAUAUUGAUGAUAUGGGUAGUACAAGAGUAGAUCUACCAUGAGAUCGGAGUGGCUAAACCCAGAAGCUAGCCUAUGGUAUGAUUGUUGUUCGUCCUACGGACUAAAACUCUCCGGUUUAUAUAGACACCGGAGAGGGCUAGGGUUACACAGAGUCGGUUACAAUAGGAGGAGAUCUUCAUAUCGUAUCACCAAGCUUGCCUUCCACGCCAAGGGAAGUCCCAUCCGGACACGGGACGGAGUCUUCAAUCUUGUAUCUUCAUAGACCAGGAGUCCGGCCAAAGGUCUUAGUCUGGCCAUCCGGACACCCCCUAAUCCAGGACUCCCUCAGCCGCCCUGGAAGGUGGCGGCGGGUGAUGCUCAGGCUUCCCGCUACGGCAUGGCGUGGUGCUGUCCCUAUCCAAGGCGGAUCUGCAUCGCUGAUCUCAUGGUUUUGCCGCGGAUUGGUUCAGAUCAGAGACGGUGAUGGGCGUGCGGGAUCGAUCUUGGUGGCUCUCGCAGUUUGGCGAGGUGGAGCGGCGAGGUGGAGCGGGAGUUCUCCUCCCAGGCUCCAGUGGUGGCGCAUCCAGGCAGUGGCCGGUGUGCCAGGGCUCCUACGGUGGCACUACUAUUGAGGUUGGUCGCUGGAUCUAGGCGGCUAGAUCUAGGGCUUUGAAGGCGGUCGAGACAGUGCACAGGUUGUCGGUGGAUGUCUUGGGACAAAUCCGAGUGAAAACUUGGUCUUCGGUCGUUGGCCGGAGCCGGUGAUGACGAUGCCCUUAUCAUCGUUUCCUUCAUGAAGGCAUCAUCGAGGUACAAAUCCCAAACCCACCCAAUACCUCUAGGGGAAACCCUAAAUCAGUUGAUCGGAUGACGGCGGCAUUCAUGUGUCGUUACCCCCUUGGGGGCGGCAUUCUUGGAGAUGCACUCGGACUCGAGGGACCAGCGGAUGGCUUCUUCGGUGGAGCGGUGUUUCUUUCUAAAUAUUCAUGGCGGCGGCUCUUGGCGGCAUGGAGCAGCGGAGGCUUGGCGUCAGAUGUGUGGUGAUGGACACGCGCAGGAGGUCGACGCUGUCUGGCAUCAUGGUGGCGUUGUCGGCAGCUAGACCGGGCAAGGUCGAUGCAACAGUACAACUCUGAUGAUGGAUUGGGUGUAGGUAGCUGCGGCGCCCUCAUACCCGGCAGGUGUCCUGGUCGAGGAGCACGCCGGACUGGUGGGUGCCCAUACCCGACAGACGUCCUGGUUGAGACCUCAAGUCUUAGAUGUUAGGUUUGGCUGUGAGGUCUGUUUGGUAUUAGGCCCAGACUAUCAGUGCCGCUUCAUCAACUGGAUAGGAGUAGCGACAGAUGUUGCUUAGACGGUGGCUUUGGUCUUACUAUUGUACGACUUUUUAAGGUCUUGUGUUAAUAAUUAAUAAUAUGGCCGUAUGCAUCUUCCAGAUACAGAGGCCGGGGGUAUUCCUCAUUUUCUAAAAAAAAUUAAAAAAAUACAAAUCGAGAGGUGAAAAGUCCAAUUCACUCUAGUUUUUUCCUUUAGAUAAAUGGGCAUCCAACUCAACUCUUCAUUAGGGAAAUCAAGUAUGGUAGUUGGCUCAGGUUUGACAACUUAUCAUGGAUGGAUUAAUGUAAAAAAAUUGGACGGAAAUAUCCAACAGCUGAAAAUAUUAAAAAAAAAUUAAGGAUGAAUCACAGGAGAUAUUGUUGCUCUCUUGAAGAUCCCCUUCGUCAGUCCCCACCUUACACUGGAUUCAUGGUGUGACAUGAUUCUCGGGUGUCCAUUUUUGUAUUGGAGCUAUAAAAUCAGCGUAACUUCGCAUAUAAGUAGAUGAUACCUCACGCAUUGCUGCAAUAAUUAGUUGCAAUAUAUGUUAAUGAUAUUUGGUUGUAUCUGACAUGGAGCUUAGGAUUAAUAAACAGAAAGUAAAAAUACAUAUCAUAUAUUGCAUUUUAUUAUUGUACAGCUGAAAAUAUCUAUUGAAUAUAAGUAGCAUAGUGGAAUAGAAAACAUUUCUCAUGCAUCUUGAUGUGGCAUUUAUCGUGAUGUAGGAUGUGUGCAUGUUGAGAGAAAUAGAAAUAGCGGGGUCAAGUAAUAAUGAAAAAAUAAAUCACAUGAUGUUGUGGUCAGCCAUUGAUGAGGUGGCAUGUAUGAAUAUUAAGAUAAUAGAACUAGUGGGGUGCACUAUUUAGAUAUUACACAUGUAAUUAAUAAACCACAAAAAUGUAUUAAUUGGACAAAUGGAUGCAGAAGCAUGUUUUAUGGUUGGUUCUCUAAGUGCAUCUCUAGUCCUUGCCCCCAAAAAUUUGACCGCCAAAGCAGGUUUAUAGGGAAUUUUUCAGGGAGAUUUAUAAGGAGUUAACACCACAUAUUCCUUCCUGUCAAAAGUGUACCCCCUCUAAAAUUUGAAAAGUAAACCUCGGGCCCAACUCAUCGACCUCAAUUUUGAGGAGAUCCUCAAACCCUUCCCAGAAGGAAAAAUUUUGGCAGGUUAAAUUAUUAUUUGCCAACUUCCGCCUCACUUCUCCAAGGCAGCACUAUGGACAUCCUCACUACCUGUCGUGAUCCCACGCACCCCUGCCGACCUCCCCCUCACCUUUCUUUAACUCACGGGUGGCUUCGCUGCAUGGAUAUAGGCACUGAUAGCUCACUCGGGCGCUCUAUCACACAUAUUGAUCCAUUUCGUGUCGGCGGCACAAGUAACACUCCCAUCACGCCCAGGAUGUCCUACUUGCCAAGGAAGACGAGCAUGUCGGCCACACCUCCUCUGCUUCCUCCUCUUGGUCGUCCUCCAGUCCUAUUCCCACCUUCAACAAGGUGGGAAGCGAUGCCGACGUCGUCAGUGUUGGCGACAUAAAUGUUCUUUUCGUACUCCAAGCCGUCGGCGAGUUCAUCCUCGAGGCAGUCCCAGAAUGGAGUAGUGUGCAAUCAGGGGAGGCCAUCGAGAUCAUGGUUAGACUUGCAAUGAAAGGACAAAACCCUAGUGGGGAAAGAUUUCGGUGAUUAAGGGACCCUACUUGUCACUGCACGGGGGAGAAUUCAGGGAGCUAAAGUUUAGAGGAAUGAAUGGGGCACGAAAAGUUACCUCCUACAAAUUGGGGAGUUAAGUUUAGCAGUCCAAACUCGAUGAAAAAUGCUUCAAGUAUACAGCAUGAAAUUCCACCGUGGAAGAGAAUAUCCUGUGAAUGUAAUGUUAUAGUUGGCCCUACUUGUGAGAAAAUAUCAUAUUUGCUGUGACGAUGCAGGUCAAGAUCGAUCGUAGAGACGAAGAAAUACGUACCAAUGAUGCACGUUUUUUUUUCUGUCCUUGCAGGCACCUAUGACCCCAACGGCGUUCCAAUGGAUUGCUCAGAGACGAAUCCAGGACCUGGGUGUUCGCGUCCGCCGUGUGGCCCAUGACAACGGAUAGUUAUGAAAUGUGUCUAGCCUUUUGUGAGAUCGCUCCAAAUUUGACAUCAAGUGCACGCGUUUGUAUCCAGUUCGACAAGAUCUUUAUGUACCCCAUCCAUUUUAAAUGUAAUACAUAUAGUUUUAUUUUAAGUUGUACUCUUUGUAAAGUUUGAAUAAGUUUAUCGAGGAACAUACAACGAAAACAAAAUAACG